UUUGAGAAUUUACGAAUUUAUAAAUCUCGUUACACGCGCCUACGAAAUUAGUCCCGUUAUCGGACGUGAUGCGUCGGGUCUUGCCUCGACGCGCCACGAACCGAUUUAAGG